rnacentral:rRNA from 1 species
GACGAACGCUGACGGCGUGCCUAAUACAUGCAAGUAGAACGCAGUUGCGAACGGGUGAGUAACGCGUAGGUAACUGCCUCAUAGCGGGGGCUAACUAUUGGAAACUAUAGCUAAUACCGCAUUCUGUGAGAUGGACCUGCGUUGUAUUAGCUAGUUGGUGAGGUAAAGGCUCCCCAAGGCGACGAUACAUAGCCGCCCUGAGAGGGUGAUUGGCCACACUGUGACGGAGACACGGUCCAGACGCCUACGGGAGGCAGCAGUAGGUAGUCUGCGGCAAUGGACGAAAGGCUGACCGAGCAACGCCGCGUGAGUGAAGAAGGUUUUCGGAUCGUAAAACUCUGUUGUUAGAGAAGCGGUAUCUAACCAGAAAGCCACGGCUAACGCCGUGCCAGCAGCCGCGGUAAUUC